rnacentral:rRNA from 1 species
UGGAAGUAAAAGUCGUAACAAGGUCUCCGUUGGUGAACCAGCGGAGGGAUCAUUACCGAGUUUACAACUCCCAAACCCCUGUGAACAUACCACUUGUUGCCUCGGCGGAUCAGCCCGCUCCCGGUAAAACGGGACGGCCCGCCAGAGGACCCCUAAACUCUGUUUCUAUAUGUAACUUCUGAGUAAAACCAUAAAUAAAUCAAAACUUUCAACAACGGAUCUCUUGGUUCUGGCAUCGAUGAAGAACGCAGCAAAAUGCGAUAAGUAAUGUGAAUUGCAGAAUUCAGUGAAUCAUCGAAUCUUUGAACGCACAUUGCGCCCGCCAGUAUUCUGGCGGGCAUGCCUGUUCGAGCGUCAUUUCAACCCUCAAGCCCUCGGGUUUGGUGUUGGGGAUCGGCGAGCCCUUGCGGCAAGCCGGCCCCGAAAUCUAGUGGCGGUCUCGCUGCAGCCUCCAUUGCGUAGUAGUAAAACCCUCGCAACUGGAACGCGGCGCGGCCAAGCCGUUAAACCCCCAACUUCUGAAUGUUGACCUCGGAUCAGGUAGGAAUACCCGCUGAACUUAAGCAUAUCAAUAAGCGGAGGAA